GCCCCCGUGUUAAGAGGGUCCCCGGGCAACGACGGGGCUUGUCCAAGACACAGGGCUGGUGCAGCUUGGGGCAGGGCCGGGAAGAAAGGCUGGGGCGCGGGGGUCUCGGGUGGUUCCGGAGCCACCGGCCAAGGCCAGGCCAGGCCGCCUAUGCGCAAGCGCAUAGGAACUCAGCGGCACGGCUGCAACGCGCACGCGCGGAAGACUCCGCUCCUCUGGGCAUGAAUCCACCGACCCGGGGUUUUGGCCCCGCCAGGACCUCUGUUUAUAAACACAGCGCGCGUCCGCCAGCCAAAGCGCACUACAGCUUAAAGGCCCAGAAUCGCCUUUCCACUCCUGGUGGCUCUGACAACUUAAUAUUUCUCAGGAAUUUAUCCACUCCAGCAACAUCUCGUAAAUACCUGCUAUGUGCCAGACUCUAUUCCAUGCUGGACACUGUGUGGUGUCUAGGCUUAAAAUGUUUCCAUAAAUACAGCUUGAACAAGAUGAAGUUGGAGUCGUUAAGAAACAAGACAGCGAGCUGGCUGAGGUGUCCACAGUGGCUGACGAGACCCAGUUGGACCGAGGCGGUGGCCAUCGGUGGUUUGCGCCUGCUCCGAGUCCCCUCCCCUUCUGCUAACACUAAGCGGACUCUGCGUGUCUUCCUCGAGGGUCUGCCCGCAUGGUGCCCUGGCCUGGGCAGAGGACCCACACGCCACCUCUCCCUCCUGGGGAUUCGAAGCUUGUCGAAUGAUGCAAGAGAGGGAAAAUGCUGGGGCCGAUUAAUCCCAGAGGGGGGGCUUCCUGAGAUAGCGGGCUCUGUUGUCACUGGGGUGUUGUUUUUCUCACGCAAGCUGAGAUUUUAUUCAGCUAACAGGAGCUUCUCGUUGAGCAGGCGUGGUGAGGUUGUCUCCCCACGAGGCAGCCCAUUAAGCCGAUAAAAAGUCAAGGAGACGGGUCAAUGGGGUCCCUUCCUUACACAUUUUUCUUUGCCAUAUUGAUCAAUCCAUUGAUGUCUGGGCCGAAGAAAUUAAUUAGGCCUAGCCCUCAUUGAGCAAGUUAGCCCUAUGACCCCAAAUCAAUACAGGUAAUAAUUAUAAGCUGGCCCCCACUGUGGGUUGAACGGGGUGCCUCCGAAAGGUAGGAUGAAGUCCGAACCCCACACCCCGGUGAGUGCAGCUGUAAUUGGAAAUAGGAUCGUUUCAAGUGGAAUUGGAUUGAGAUGAAGGGUCAAGGGACACAGGCCUGACCUGCGCCCCCCCGCUCUCCAGCUGAGGCCGGCGAUCCACGGCGCCCCUCGGCCAUCUUCUCUCCCUGUCUGUGUCCCUUCUCCCAGGUGUAUUUGGAAAUGCCUGGGGGAUGUCUGAGACACCCGUGCUUCAAACACCAGCCGCGGCCCCUCGUGCCAGGGAGCCCUUGAACGGUCCCUUCUUGAACGGGCGGGCCUGAGGUUGCCCCCUGGCUCCCACCCCACGGCUCCUGCAGGGGCUGCCGGCCGGGGGGCGGCCUCCGUCUGCGCUGCGAGGGACCUGACCUGGAGCAGCCGAUUCGUGGUCAGGGGCCCGGGUGUGAGCGUGGACCCUCCGUGCGGAGGAGCUGGCACUGGAGAGCGAGCAGACCCCAGCUCCCUAACAACACCCAAGCCGGGAGGCCUAAAGCAGCAGUCCUGGAGGCCAGGUCCAAAGGCGAGGUGACACUGGGGGAGCCCCUGCCUGUUCCAGCCCUGGCGCCGGCCAUCCAGCCUCGGCAUCCCCACUCGUGGCUGUGGCACAUCCGCCUCAGCCUCUGCUGCCACCUGUCCCCUGUCCCCUGCGUGCCUGAGCACCUCCCGAGCCUUCCCUCUUUGUCAGGACACCAGUCGUCGUGUUUGGAGGCCACCCUGCCCCGGCGAGACCCCAUCCCGACAUGAUGACAUCAGCAAAGACCCUAUUUCCAAAUAAGUAUCAGGGGAAUGGGACUUGGACAUAUCUUUUGGGGGACACAUCUCAACCCAUUACACCCUGCAAAAGCUGCUCAGCUGGGAACCUCAGAGCCUGUCCCUGUUUAGGGACUGAAAGGCCUGCAGGACCCAACGCUCCUCCAGUGGCCACGAUAGCUGGUCUCUCCCUCGUUUAGCCCCAGGAAUUUGUGGGUGCCGACUCCAGUGCCACAGAGGAGGGAUGGAGGAGACAUACCGAGCCCCGGCUCUGUCCCCAGUGCUCAGGGCUCUCGACAAGCACCAGCUCAUUUAAUUCUCCUGAUGGUCCCUGGAGGAGCUCGCCCUACCGGCCUCUGACCUUGACUUCUGGUCUCAGAACGACAGCGAGAGAACGCAUUCCUGUUGUUUCAAGCCACCACCUUGGGGUCCUUUUCCUGGCAGUCCUGGAGACUGCAGCAGGGGACUUCGGCUGAGAUUUGUGCUUUCCUCACUCCCAAGUCAUGACUUAGGAAAUGCUCUAUCUCUUGAGGUUCUGAGCGUGUGGCCACCACAUUUCCAGCAUCUCUUUUUUUUUUUUUUCAAGAUUUAUUUAUUUAAUCCCCCCCCCCCCAGUUGUUUGUUCUCUGUGUCUAUUGCUGCGUCUUGUUUCUUUUGUCCGCUUCUGUUGUCGUCAGUGGCACGAGAAGUGUGGGUGGCGCCAUUCCUGGGCAGGCUGCUCUUUCUUUGCGCUGGGCGGCUCUCCUUAUGGGGCGCACUCCUUGCGCAUGGGGCUCCCCUACGCGGGGGCACCCCUGUGUGGCAGGGCACUCCUUGUGCCCAUCAGCACUGUGCAUGGGCCAGCUCCACACGGGUCAAGGAGGCCCGGGGUUUGAACUGCGGACCUCCCAUGUGGUAGGCGGACGCCCUAACCACUGGGCCAAGUCCGUUUCCCUCCAGCAUCUCUUUUAAUCCCCCAAUCACCCUCAGCCCACUUUACAGUAGAGGAAACUGAGGCCCAGGGAGGCCCGACACGCUGCUGAGGUAUCGCAGCUGGCCUCCGAGGCGCCGGCGCUGCCGGCUGCAGCCUGCUGCUGUGGCUUCCGGGGCUUUGUUUCGUCGCUCCAAACAAGCCGGAGCAGGACGCGCUGGGAUGGCUUCUGCGGGCACCACCAGCGUAUCGUCCGGGUGCCGGACACACGCGGGGAGCACCAGCGCCCCACGCCCACGCCCCUUGUGGAGCACCCUCCCACCCUGAACGGGACGCACCUGC
rnacentral:lncRNA from 1 species